GAUGAACGCUGGCGGCGUGCCUAAUACAUGCAAGUCGAGCGAACAGACGAGGAGCUUGCUCCUCUGACGUUAGCGGCGGACGGGUGGGUAACACGUGGAUAACCUACCUAUAAGACUGGGAUAACUUCGGGAAACCGGAGCUAAUACCGGAUAAUAUAUUGAACCGCAUGGUUCAAUAGUGAAAGACGGUUUUGCUGCCACUUAUAGAUGGAUCCGCGCCGCAUUAGCUAGUUGGUAAGGUAACGGCUUACCAAGGCAACGAUGCGUAGCCGACCUGAGAGGGUGAUCGGCCACACUGGAAGUGAGACACGGUCCAGACUCCUACGGGAGGCAGCAGUAGGGAAUCUUCCGCAAUGGGCGAAAGCCUGACGGAGCAGCGCCGCGUGAGUGAUGAAGGUCUUCGGAUCGUAAAACUCUGUUAUUAGGGAAGAACAAAUGUGUAAGUAACUAUGCACGUCUUGACGGUACCUAAUCAGAAAGCCACGGCUAACUACGUG
rnacentral:rRNA from 1 species